rnacentral:piRNA from 1 species
UGCAUGAGCUCCAUAAAGCGGCUCUGGAGU